ACAGAGGUUGCCCAACCCGCGAGGGGAGCCAAUCCUUACAAAGCCCAGUUGUAGUCCGGAUCGCAGUCUGCAACUCGACUGCGUGAAGUCGGAAUCGCUAGUAAUCGCGGAAUCAGAAUGUCGCGGUGAAUACGUUCCCGGGUCUUGUACACACCGCCCGUCACACCAUGGGAGCGGGUCUCGCCAGAAGUGGGUAGCCUAACCGCAAGGAGGGCGCUUACCACGGCGGGGUUCGUGACUGGGGUGAAGUCGUAACAAGGUAGCCGUAA
rnacentral:rRNA from 1 species